rnacentral:rRNA from 1 species
GAAAGAUGGCUUUGGCUAUCACUCUGGGAUGGACCUGCGGUGCAUUAGCUAGUUGGUAAGGUAACGGCUUACCAAGGCGAUGAUGCAUAGCCGAGUUGAGAGACUGAUCGGCCACAAUGGAACUGAGACACGGUCCAUACUCCUACGGGAGGCAGCAGUAGGGAAUCUUCCACAAUGGGCGCAAGCCUGAUGGAGCAACACCGCGUGAGUGAAGAAGGGUUUCGGCUCGUAAAGCUCUGUUGUUGGAGAAGAACGUGCGUGAGAGUAACUGUUCACGCAGUGACGGUAUCCAACCAGAAAGUCACGGCUAGCUACGUGCCAGCAGCCGCGGUAAUACGUAGGUGGCAAGCGUUAUCCGGAUUUAUUGGGCGUAAAGCGAGCGCAGGCGGUUGCUUAGGUCUGAUGUGAAAGCCUUCGGCUUAACCGAAGAAGUGCAUCGGAAACCGGGCGACUUGAGUGCAGAAGAGGACAGUGGAACUCCAUGUGUAGCGGUGGAAUGCGUAGAUAUAUGGAAGAACACCAGUGGCGAAGGCGGCUGUCUGGUCUGCAACUGACGCUGAGGCUCGAAAGCAUGGGUAGCGAACAGGAUUAGAUACCCUGGUAGUCCAUGCCGUAAACGAUGAGUGCUAGGUGUUGGAGGGUUUCCGCCCUUCA